rnacentral:rRNA from 1 species
UACGGGGGGUGCAAACGUUGCUCGGAAUUAUUGGGCGUAAAGCGCGCGUAGGCGGCUAUCUAAGUCGGAUGUGAAGGCCCCUGGCUUAACUGGGGAAGUGCACCCGAAACUGGGUAGCUAGAGUGCGAAAGAGGGUCGCGGAAUUCCCGGUGUAGAGGUGAAAUUCGUAGAUAUCGGGAGGAACACCGGUGGCGAAGGCGGCGACCUGGGUCGACACUGACGCUGAGGCGCGAAAGCGUGGGGAGCAAACAGG